rnacentral:lncRNA from 1 species
UUUGAUUAAAAUUGAAUUAUUACCAAAUAUGAAAACACAAGCAUGUUUCACUAUGUUCGAGAUAUGGUUUGUAAAUCGGGCAGGUGUGCUAUUGCAUAAUUUGCAUUAUGAAUUUACGGAGGAAAAACGCGAUUGAGAGAAUGAGGAGGAUUGUGAUGUUUUCAUUUUUAAAUUUAUUGGAUUAUAUUGAUUUUUUUUUUGAAAUUAUUGAUUAACAAUUUAAAUAAUAACUAGUUAUUAAUGAAAAAUAUUUUUCGUCACUAAAUUUGCCUCUAUAUAAAAUGGGGUGGGAUGUAGAUUUUAGAUAAGAAUGGGGUGGAGUGUAAUUCUAACAAACCUUAAGGGGGGUGAGUGUACUUUACUCAAAGAAGAAAGAAGCCAAGAAACUUU